rnacentral:rRNA from 1 species
ACGAACGCUGGCGGCGUGCCUAAUACAUGCAAGUCGAACGCUUCUUUUUCCACCGGAGCUUGCUCCACCGGAAAAAGAGGAGUGGCGAACGGGUGAGUAACACGUGGGUAACCUGCCCAUCAGAAGGGGAUAACACUUGGAAACAGGUGCUAAUACCGUAUAACAAUCGAAACCGCAUGGUUUUGAUUUGAAAGGCGCUUUCGGGUGUCGCUGAUGGAUGGACCCGCGGUGCAUUAGCUAGUUGGUGAGGUAACGGCUCACCAAGGCGACGAUGCAUAGCCGACCUGAGAGGGUGAUCGGCCACAUUGGGACUGAGACACGGCCCAAACUCCUACGGGAGGCAGCAGUAGGGAAUCUUCGGCAAUGGACGAAAGUCUGACCGAGCAACGCCGCGUGAGUGAAGAAGGUUUUCGGAUCGUAAAACUCUGUUGUUAGAGAAGAACAAGGAUGAGAGUAACUGUUCAUCCCUUGACGGUAUCUAACCAGAAAGCCACGGCUAACUACGUGCCAGCAGCCGCGGUAAUACGUAGGUGGCAAGCGUUGUCCGGAUUUAUUGGGCGUAAAGCGAGCGCAGGCGGUUUCUUAAGUCUGAUGUGAAAGCCCCCGGCUCAACCGGGGAGGGUCAUUGGAAACUGGGAGACUUGAGUGCAGAAGAGGAGAGUGGAAUUCCAUGUGUAGCGGUGAAAUGCGUAGAUAUAUGGAGGAACACCAGUGGCGAAGGCGGCUCUCUGGUCUGUAACUGACGCUGAGGCUCGAAAGCGUGGGGAGCAAACAGGAUUAGAUACCCUGGUAGUCCACGCCGUAAACGAUGAGUGCUAAGUGUUGGAGGGUUUCCGCCCUUCAGUGCUGCAGCUAACGCAUUAAGCACUCCGCCUGGGGAGUACGACCGCAAGGUUGAAACUCAAAGGAAUUGACGGGGGCCCGCACAAGCGGUGGAGCAUGUGGUUUAAUUCGAAGCAACGCGAAGAACCUUACCAGGUCUUGACAUCCUUUGACCACUCUAGAGAUAGAGCUUCCCCUUCGGGGGCAAAGUGACAGGUGGUGCAUGGUUGUCGUCAGCUCGUGUCGUGAGAUGUUGGGUUAAGUCCCGCAACGAGCGCAACCCUUAUUGUUAGUUGCCAUCAUUUAGUUGGGCACUCUAGCAAGACUGCCGGUGACAAACCGGAGGAAGGUGGGGAUGACGUCAAAUCAUCAUGCCCCUUAUGACCUGGGCUACACACGUGCUACAAUGGGAAGUACAACGAGUCGCAAAGUCGCGAGGCUAAGCUAAUCUCUUAAAGCUUCUCUCAGUUCGGAUUGUAGGCUGCAACUCGCCUACAUGAAGCCGGAAUCGCUAGUAAUCGCGGAUCAGCACGCCGCGGUGAAUACGUUCCCGGGCCUUGUACACACCGCCCGUCACACCAUGGGAGUCAGUAACGCCCGAAGUCAGUGACCCAACCGUAAGGAGGGAGCUGCCGAAGGCGGGACCGAUAACUGGGGUG